CAACCUGCCUGUUACCACGGCACAGCCCGUCGAAAGGCGGAUUAAUGCCGUAUGUGGUCUUGAAAGGGCAUCUGAUCAUGACUAAAGGUUCAGCGGUAACGGAUGGGGAUGCGUCCGAUUAGCUAGACGGCGGGGUAACGGCCCACCGUGGCUACGAUCGGUAGGGGUUCUGAGAGGAAGGUCCCCCACACUGGAACUGAGACACGGUCCAGACUCCUACGGGAGGCAGCAGUGAGGAAUAUUGGUCAAUGGGCGUAAGCCUGAACCAGCCAAGUAGCGUGAGGGAAGACUGCCCUAUGGGUUGUAAACCUCUUUUGUGCGGGGAUAAAGUGAGGGACGUGUCCCUUAUUGCAGGUACCGCACGAAUAAGGACCGGCUAAUUCCGUGCCAGCAGCCGCGGUAAUACGGAAGGUCCGGGCGUUAUCCGGAUUUAUUGGGUUUAAAGGGAGCGCAGGCCGUCCUUUAAGCGUGCUGUGAAAUGCCGCGGCUCAACCGUGGCACUGCAGCGCGAACUGGAGGACUUGAGUACGCACGAGGUAGGCGGAAUUCGUGGUGUAGCGGUGAAAUGCUUAGAUAUCACGAAGAACUCCGAUUG
rnacentral:rRNA from 1 species